rnacentral:rRNA from 1 species
GCCCUUAGAGUUUGAUCCUGGNUCAGAUUGAACGCUGGCGGCAGGCCUAACANAUGCAAGUCGAGCGGAUGAGUGGAGCUUGCUCCAUGAUUCAGCGGCGGACGGGUGAGUAAUGCCUAGGAAUCUGCCUGGUAGUGGGGGACAACGUUUCGAAAGGAACGCUAAUACCGCAUACGUCCUANGGGGAGAAAGUGGGGGNUCUUCGGACCUCACGCUAUCAGAUGAGCCUAGGUCGGAUUAGCUGGUUGGUGAGGUAAAGGCUC